CCCCUCUCCUAAUCCUCAGCACUUAGAGCCACAGCUGCAGGAUAUGGCAUGGAGAGAGGGCUCGUAGGGGCUGACCAGCAGGUGGGAUCCCACAGGGGGCACCAAGAGGCCAGCAGUGUUCCUGGAGAGUCCCUCAGAACCAUCUCCUAUAACAGAGUGCCCAUAGAGAGGACUCCUCCCCCUACCCCCCACCCCCAAGCUUCCUGGUCCUAUAGUGACUCUAAGGAGAAAGGGUGGAGAACAUCAGUGCAAUUCCACAUGGGGCUGGGAGUGGUAGUCACGUCAAACUGCAUCUUUAGGAAUCAAAUGGGAGGGGCAACUCCUCCCCUAUAUAGCUCACCACCCCACCGUAACCCUGCCCCUCCAGAAAGGCAACCUCCUUAAUACACACUGUCCUCCCUGUCCUCCCAUUCCACUCCACCCCCUUCAUCUCAGCCCCUCAGCAAAGCACAACUCACAGCUCCCUGUGCCUCAUGUCCCCAGCAGUUGCUGGGGAGCCAGCCUGCAGCUCCAGCCAACUUCCAAGCAGAAAUGGGAUCACAGACAAUGAGAACUCACACUUACUGGGACUGCCUGACCCCCUUAAACUCCACUACAAUCCCAUGAGGGAAGUACAGUACUGGGAUCACCAUCUUACAGAAGAAGAGACUGAGGCUUGAAGACGUUAAGCCACUUGUCCAAGGACCUCCAGAAGGAAGCAGUGGUACCGUAAGUGGCCACUGUUCUGCACCAGGCCCUCAACAGUCGCCUUCCCCGGUCGCUUCUCCCAUCCAUCCCAGCUCCUCCAGCCUUCACCCCGGCUAGACCGGCAGCCACCCCGUGGAUUGGGGAGAUAGAACUUCCAUCUCAAAGAAGUGAACUCUGCCCUCCAGCUACUACUCAGACUCUCUCCUGACAUGUAUUUAUAGAAUUUAGCUUAGGGGGCAGGAGAGGAGGGGUGGAGGCCAGCCAGGGAAGUGACCUUCACCAGUUCUCACUUUUCCUGCUUUGGGGGAAUCACUUCCCCUAUCCUUCAAUUCCAAUGUCCAACCAGAGGAGGGGUGAAAUGAGGUGGGCAAGGAGACAACCAUCUCCAAGGCAGAGAGCCAGGGAGAGAGCGGAGGACGAGGUGGGGCCCUCCCCCAGCUGCAUCCCAUCUGCCCCGGGCAGGCGGCCAGGCAAGGUUUGAGAUGGACUUCUCUUAUUGACAACCCAGAGGUUCCUGACUAACGCAUCAUUCGUCAAACGCUGUGCUCCUGCUCUAUGCCAGACUACACAGGGUGGUGGAAUCCGAGGAUGACUGCGACACAGCUCCUGCCUUCAAGGAGCCUGGAGUCUCCUGAGCCUUGUCCAAAUGCUGCUCCUCUGUGACUACUUGGCCAGCUCCC
rnacentral:lncRNA from 1 species